GGCCGGCUGGCCUAAUGGUUAAGGCGUCAGUUUCCGGCUUUACGCAGGAAAUCGUAGCUGAAGAUUCUGGGUUCGAAUCCCAGGUUGGUCG